rnacentral:rRNA from 1 species
CAGUAGCCGCGGGAAUACGUAGGUGGCAAGCGUUGUCCGGAAUUAUUGGGCGUAAAGGGCUCGCAGGCGGUUUCUUAAGUCUGAUGUGAAAGCCCCCGGCUCAACCGGGGAGGGUCAUUGGAAACUGGGAAACUUGAGUGCAGAAGAGGAGAGUGGAAUUCCACGUGUAGCGGUGAAAUGCGUAGAGAUGUGGAGGAACACCAGUGGCGAAGGCGACUCUUUGGUCUGUAACUGACGCUGAGGAGCGAAAGCGUGGGGAGCGAACAGGAUUAGAUACCCCAGUAGUCCCUGUCUCUUAUAC